GAUGAAGAAAGACAGAGUUACCCGCCACCGGGAACUACGCUGUCUCCCUUUGAUCAACCUCCACCUCCUCCAAGACCUUACCACUAUGGAGAGGAUCAACCUCCACCUCCUCCAAAACCUUACUACUAUCGAGACGAUCAACCUCCACCUCCUCCAAGGCCUUACUACUAUGGAGAGGAUCAACAUCCACCACCACCACCACCUUCCUGCUACAGAGAAGAUCAACCACCACCGAAUUCAUACUACGAAGCAGAUAGACCACCACCGAUCCGUGUGAGCCAUGUGUCCCACUCUUCCCAUGGUUAUGCACCUCCAAGUCCACCCUCCCAAUCCCAAGGG
rnacentral:lncRNA from 1 species